rnacentral:rRNA from 1 species
UACGGGGGGAGCGAGCGUUGUUCGGAAUCACUGGGCGUAAAGGGCGCGUAGGCGGUCAGGUAAGUGAGAUGUGAAAUUCUUCGGCUCACCCGAAGGCAUGCAUCUCAUACUGCUUGGCUAGAGUACAGCAGAGGAAACGGGAAUUCCUGGUGUAGCGGUGAAAUGCGUAGAUAUCAGGAGGAACACCGGUGGCGAAGGCGCGUUUCUGGGCUGUUACUGACGCUGAGGCGCGAUAGCUAGGGGAGCAAACGGG